UACAGAGGGUGCAAGCGUUAAUCGGAAUUACUGGGCGUAAAGCGUGCGUAGUCGGUUAUUUAAGUCGGGUGUGAAAGCCCCGGGCUCAACCUGGGGAUUGCAUUCGAUACUGGAUAGCUAGAGUUCGGCAGAGGGAAGCGGAAUUUCCGGUGUAGCGGUGAAAUGCGUAGAUAUCGGAAGGAACAUCAGUGGCGAAAGCGGCUUCCUGGACCAGAACUGACGAUCAGGCACGAAAGCGUGGGGAGCAAACAGG
rnacentral:rRNA from 1 species